rnacentral:rRNA from 1 species
UAGUCAGUGGCGUAAGGGUGCGUAACACGUGGGCAACCUGCCCGGAAGUGGGGGAUAGCUCGCCGAAAGGCGAAUUAAUACCGCAUGUGGCUACAGUUGGAAUCAACUGGACGCCAAAGUCGGGGCAACCUGACGCUUCUGGAUGGGCCCGCGGCCUAUCAGCUAGUUGGUGAGGUAACGGCUCACCAAGGCGAUGACGGGUAGCUGGUCUGAGA